rnacentral:rRNA from 1 species
CAAUAGCGUAUAUUUAAGUUGUUGCAGUUAAAAAGCUCGUAGUUGGAUUUCGGUUAAGAGCGACCGGUCCGCCGUUUGGUGUGCACUGGUUGGUUUUAACUUCCUGUAGAGGACGUGCUCUGGGUUUAACGACCUGGACUCGGAGUCUACGUGGUUACUUUGAAAAAAUUAGAGUGUUCAAAGCGGGCUUACGCUUGAAUAUUUCGGCAUGGAAUAACACUAUAGGACUCCUGUCCUAUUUCGUUGGUCUCGGGACGGGAGUAAUGAUUAAGAGGAACAGUUGGGGGCAUACGUAUUUCAUUGUCAGAGGUGAAAUUCUUGGAUUUAUGAAAGACGAACUUCUGCGAAAGCAUUUGCCAAGGAUGUUUUCAUUAA